GAUGAACGCUGGCGGCGUGCCUAAUACAUGCAAGUCGAGCGAACAGACGAGGAGCUUGCUCCUUUGACGUUAGCGGCGGACGGGUGAGUAACACGUGGGUAACCUACCUAUAAGACUGGGAUAACUUCGGGAAACCGGAGCUAUACCGGAUAAUAUUUCGAACCGCAUGGUUCGAUAGUGAAAGAUGGCUUUGCUAUCACUUAUAGAUGGACCUGCGCCGUAUUAGCUAGUUGGUAAGGUAACGGCUUACCAAGGCAACGAUACGUAGCCGACCUGAGAGGGUGAUCGGCCACACUGGAACUGAGACACGGUCCAGACUCCUACGGGAGGCAGCAGUAGGGAAUCUUCCGCAAUGGGCGAAAGCCUGACGGAGCAACGCCGCGUGAGUGAUGAAGGUCUUCGGAUCGUAAAACUCUGUUAUUAGGGAAGAACAAACGUGUAAGUAACUGUGCACGUCUUGACGGUACCUAAUCAGAAAGCCACGGCUAACUACGUG
rnacentral:rRNA from 1 species